rnacentral:tRNA from 1 species
GCCCCCAUCGUCUAGAGGCCUAGGACACCACCCUUUCAAGGUGGAGAUCGCGGGUUCGAAUCCCGCUGGGGGCACUA